rnacentral:rRNA from 1 species
GACGAACGCUGGCGGCGCGCUUAACACAUGCAAGUCGAACGGAAAGGCCUGCUUUCCCUUGUGGAUUGCGGGUACUCGAGUGGCGAACGGGUGAGUAACACGUGAGUGAUCUGCCCCCAACUUGGGUAUAAGCCUGGGAAACUGGGUCUAAUUCCCGAUAGGACUGCAGGGUGGUGCCUGUGGUGGAAAACGAUUUUCUAGUGGUUGGGGAUGAGCUCGCGGCCUAUCAGCUUGUUGGUGGGGUAAUGGCCUACCAAGGCGGCGGCGGGUAGCCGGCCUGGGAGGGUGGACGGCCACAUUGGGACUGGGAUACGGCCCAGACUCCUACGGGAGGCAGCAGUGGGGAAUAUUGCACAAUGGGCGGAAGCCUGAUGCAGCGACGCCGCGUGGGGGAUGACGGCCUUCGGGUUGUAAACUCCUUUCGACCGCGAGGAAGCCACCUGGUUGGAAGGGUGGUGACGGUAGUGGUAGAAGAAGCACCGGCUAACUACGUG